AGAAACACCAAGUUGUUUUUGCAAAGCGAGUUGUCUUUGACAAAGAUAAUACUUUUACAUUCAUACAAAGUUUCUUUCUUUUGACACUGUGCUUUUAUACUGUUAAAGAUAUGUCAGAGGAAGCUUUAAAUAAUUCACCUAUGGACAGAGAUAAUACAGAGGAAUUACAUUUAAUGCGACAGAUAGCGCUUCUCACUGUGGAGCAGGCCAAGGUUAAAAGUUACCAGAGUCAGCUGGGGAUUCAUGAACAUCAUCAGUGAUGUUUCUCCACAGCGGGCUCAUCAGUACCUGGUGACAGAAGGUCGACCCAGUUCUGACUUGAGGCUGUUCAAGAAUCAGCUCCACUUGAUCUGGUUCCACCUCUACCACAGGCAGAGAAACACAGGCCUGGACUCUUUGUUGGCCAGACAAAAUCAGGAACGGAAAUCAUUGGUUUUCACAACUGGGUCCAGUUCCACCUGCAAAGGAUAUAAGGCCAGGGAGCAUGAUUUGGUAAGUAUAACAUUUCACCAGACAGAAGAGUUUGAUUUCCUUUGAUUUCAGUAUUCUCAGCCGGUCGGCCUCAUGUGUGCCUGAUGACAAGUUGGUCCACUUCAUACAUGCACAGUAGCGCAGGCGCAGUUGUUUAUACAGGAUUAACCUGAGCGACCUGUUCCUGUACCGUUUUUUUAACAACUGUAAUAGAUUACAGGAAGUCUCUGGCUGUGUUGCUGAAUCUGCCGAUGCAAGAUCAGACAUGGAUGGAUGAGGUGCUGCAACUGAGCCCUGCCUUUUGUCUUUUCUGGUUGGCAAGUGGAGAAUCACACAGGCUGGUCUGCAAAG